AUUUUUCUUGUCAUUCAAAGGUUGGAAGGUCCGGGUAAUUGCCGUGACGUCAUUGGAGUCGGCUUUUAAUCCGUAUAAGCUUGUCAUAGAUUUCGGGGAACGAUGCUUUUUGGUGGCAGUAACAGGAGGCCAUGGCAAAGCUACAGUAAAUUGUCUGCGAAUCGGUGAUGGCCUUUUCCUUUUUUCAAACACAGGGGGUAUUGCAGUGGACCCGUUGAAACCAAACUCACACUGGGAAAGAGCACGGGGAAAGGGGAUGAUAUCCAUUGCGUCUAGGGACUUGUAGAAGUAGGCCUCGGUACUUAUCAAUAGGACUCUUCGGAAGGAAACUGUCUCCAAGAAAAACAAAAAACAUCUUUCCGGAAAUCAAUGAAGUUAUCACCUUAUGUAUUUUUCUUAUUGACAUAAAAAAAAUCAAUGAAGUUGCUACCUUACAUAUUUUUUCAUAUCGACAUUUAAGAAUUGAAAUCUUUAUGACUUGUAUUUGAAACAAUAGACUAGUAUUUGCCUUAUCAUUACUGAUAUUCAUAUACAUGUAAAUAGUUAUUUUUAAAAUUUUUCGGUAUAAAUAGAAUUAAUUUUUGUUUAUCGUGGUACUUGUUUGAAAUGUCUCUAAAAGUUUCUAGAAGCAGAUUAAUUAUAUUUUUGCGACCAGGAAAGGUUAAUUAAGUAAAUUCGCCGUGAAUUUAUAUUUACAUUGGGGAUUUUUCUAUGACAUUAUGUCGAUAAAUAUAGGCAAUUUACUAAGAUAUUUAAAAAUGACGAACAAGUGAUUUAAAAAUCUUAAUAAUCUGGGGAGUCAUCAAGCUUAUCUCCAUAUACCAUGAAAUGAUUCACGCUUGGUUUUCCACUUGGGGAUUUGAAGUUACAUGGAUAAGUAUAUGUACAUCCUUUAUAUAAGAUAAAAAGGUGUGACUAAAUAUGAGAGAUAUCGCCAUGGAUCGGCCUAAAAACCGUAAUGGAUUCAAUUUGACCGGAGAACUAUUGGUUACAGUAAAUACAUCGGAAUAUCAAAACACAGCAUCGCUGUCAAUGGGAGUAUUUUUGAAUGACGACCAGAAACUCUACCGCAAAUUUGGAGAUCAUAUCGGGAUCGGUAUUCACAGUUCGAAUAAAGAUGAGGACACCAGAUACUGAUUAGAACAAUGAGUUGAUUGAUCUUGUUAACACGGUCUGUCCUUGAGAUGUAUAGUUUCCCAUGAUUUGAGAAUGCAGUUUUAUACACUUUAUUCUCUACUGUACAUAAAACCUCCAUUAUACACCGUAUACCAAUAAACGCACACCUUGAUUUAAUUAAAUUCAUUAAAUUUUGUCUCUAAUUUUUUGGAUUAACCUAUCAUGAUCCUUAAAAUAAUAAAAAAAAAUAUUCUUAACUGUAAAUGUGUUGCAAAUUCAGAUUUUGCAAUUUUUCGGAUUUCAAAUUUUCUGUCUAUCAUUGAAGUAUACUUAAGUAUACUUAUAUCAUAUGGUAAGCUAUUUUGGUAUUUUUUUCUUCAGAUAUACUUAUGACAG